CGUCCGAAACGAAAGCUGUGAGCACCGCAAUCGAUGAAUCGCUCCUGCAGUUGUCCAGUAAUAAUCUAAAAGGACAAGCACUUCUUCACAGCGAUGAUCACACAUCAACAGUGAACACUGGGCCUAUAGAUGGCACCACUUCGUUCACUACGGCGGUUGCUUAAUGCUAGUGGCUUUGAUGCACUCCUGUGCGGGAAAGAGUGGCGGUUGCCAGGUUUUCAUGCGGCGAGCGCCAUGGUGAGCGCACGGCUGCUUAAAAAUGACCCGCGGUUUGGAAUCGACUCUUGGUGGAGCUGGAUCACAGCCUUCUUCUGUGCUUGGGUGUUGUUCCUGGCCAUGGCGACACCCCGUAUGGCUGGAAUUUUCUUUUACGGAAUCGUCGAAACAUUCGGGGCAACCAGAAAUGAAGCUUCGUGGCCGGUGUCCCUGGCGGGUACCUUCACUGUAUUAGGAGGUCCGAUAGCUGGCUACCUCUGCCAGCGUUUUUCGUGUCGGGCAGUGCUGUUGGUCUGCUCACCCUUGGCUGGAGUUGGAGUCUGUCUAUGUUACCUGGCGAGAGAUCUCCUAUUUAUCACCAUUUUCUUGGGAAUCAUUCACGGUACUGCGUUGUGCGGCUUGUACGUGGCUUCGAAUAUCCUGCUCGCCCAGCAUUUCGAGAAGCGAAGAGCGACGGCCAUUAGCCUAGUGUUUACAGCGUUCGGCUUCAGCUCUGUCGUUCUUACGCCACUCAUAGAGUUCUUGCGAAAGACGUAUGGAAUCCGUGGGGCGUUUCUCAUUUAUGGUGCGAUUCUCCUAAACACGAUACCAGCCGUUAUUGUUCUCAGAAGCCCGCCGUGGCUGACGAAGUCGGAAAUUGCAAAGAAAGUGAUGCCCAAUGAAGAGGAUCAAAAAAAAGCGACAUGUCUUUUGAUUCAACCUGCCAAUGAAGACGUCAGCAUACCAAAAGCGAUAGAAAAUCAUGACGCUUACUCAAGCAAACGCUUAAAUUUUCAGCAGGAGCAGGAAAACAUGUCGCAUACAGGGCUGUUUACACGGAAAAGUUCUCUUAAGCUGAUGGAGGCAAAGGAGGCUCUCCUAAAUUUUAGUCUCCCCGCGGCGACAAGGCAAAUCUUCACGUUGUCUUUCCUUGUCCACGCACUGUCUUUCGCAGCCGUAAUUAUCCCCGCGAGCGUGUUCCUUAUAAUAAUGGGAGACAUUACCGAUGACCACGGCCUUAAUCCUUCAAAUGCCGUGUAUUUUCUCCAGGCUUUAUCGGCAGCGGAUAUCGCGUUGAGAUCAGUUGUGGGCAUUACUGUCGAUUCGCAGACUUUAUCCCAUGAAUCCGUCAUGGUUAUCGGAUACUUAGUGCAGGGACUUACUUAUGAGUGGCUUAUCUGGGCGAAUACAGUACCACAAAUGAUUGCCGUUUCUGUCCUCAUGGGUGCCACGUACGGAUCAAGAACGUGUCUGCAGGCUCCUGUUUUGGUGAAGGACUUCGGCAUCGGCAAUUUGCCUGUGAUUAUGGGUGGUGUGUUCUUCUGCAUAGGCGUAUCUCUUCUCCUCCGUCCAUCACUGAUCGGAUACUUCAGAGACACUUAUGGCGACUACAACGGGCUGCUCCAUUUGAUGGCUGCACUCAAUGCAUUGUUCAUGUGCAUUUGGGUGGUGAAGCUCGUUACUCAGAGGAAAACCGGGCGACUAUGACAUCUCAGAGUGCGCACCAUGUGGAUGUAUCACACUGUUCUACCAAUAAAAAU
rnacentral:lncRNA from 1 species